UACGUAGGGUGCAAGCGUUGUCCGGAAUUAUUGGGCGUAAAGCGCACGUAGGCGGACUGUUAAGUCGGAUGUGAAAGCCCUCGGCUUAACCGAGGAAGUGCAUUCGAAACUGGCAGUCUUGAGUACAGAAGAGGGUCGCGGAAUUCCCGGUGUAGAGGUGAAAUUCGUAGAUAUCGGGAGGAACACCAGUGGCGAAGGCGGCGACCUGGGCUGAUACUGACGCUGAGGAGCGAAAGCGUGGGGAGCGAACAGG
rnacentral:rRNA from 1 species